CGUGCUUAACACAGGCAAGUCAAGGGGAAAGGUUGUCUUCGGACGGCCGAGUAUACUGGCGAACGGGUGAGUAACGCGUAGGUAACUUGCCUAUCAGUCUGGGAUAACACUGCUAACGCGGUGCUAAUACCGGGUAUACUGCAUAGAUCGCAUGUUUUUUGCAGGAAAGCGGGCCUCUGGAACAAGCUCGUGCUGAUAGAUAGACCUGCGUUCCAUUAGUUAGUUGGUAGGGUAACGGCCUACCAAGGCAGCGAUGGGUAGCCGGCCUGAGAGGGUGACCGGCCACACUGGGACUGAGAUACGGCCCAGACUCCUACGGGAGGCAGCAGUGAGGAAUAUUGCGCAAUGGACGAAAGUCUGACGCAGCAACGCCGCGUGAGGGAUGAAGCUUUUCGGAGUGUAAACCUCUGUUAGGAGGGAAGAACGUCUAUUAUUCGAACAGGGUGAUAGAGUGACGGUACCUCCAGAGAAAGCCCCGGCUAACUCCGUGCCAGCAGCCGCGGUAAUACGGGGGGGGCGAACGUUGUCCGGAACUAUUGGGCGUAAAGGGCGCGUAGGCGGGAAGGUCAGUCAGAGGUGAAAGCUUGUGGCUUAACUGCAAGUUUGCCUUUGAUACUGCCAUUCUUGAGUUCGGAAGAGGGAAGUGGAAUUCCUGGUGUAGCGGUGAAAUGCGUAGAUAUCAGGAAGAACACCGGUGGCGAAGGCGGCUUCCUGGUCCGAUACUGACGCUGAUGCGCGAAAGCGUGGGGAGCAAACAGGAUUAGAUACCCUGGUAGUCCACGCUGUAAACGAUGGGUACUAGGUGUUGGGUUUAAUUACUCAGCGCCGGAGCUAACGCAUUAAGUACACCGCACUGGGGAGUACGAUCGCAAG
rnacentral:rRNA from 1 species